AGCCUGAUGCAGCAACGCCGCGUGAGGGACGACGGCCUUCGGGUUGUAAACCUCUUUUAGUAGGGAAGAAGCGAAAGUGACGGUACCUGCAGAAAAAGCACCGGCUAACUACGUGCCAGCAGCCGCGGUAAUACGUAGGGUGCAAGCGUUGUCCGGAAUUAUUGGGCGUAAAGAGCUCGUAGGCGGUUUGUCGCGUCUGCUGUGAAAACCCNAGGCUCAACCUCGGNCCUGCAGUGGGUACGGGCAGACUAGAGUGCGGUAGGGGAGAUUGGAAUUCCUGGUGUAGCGGUGGAAUGCGCAGAUAUCAGGAGGAACACCAAUGGCGAAGGCAGAUCUCUGGGCCGUAACUGACGCUGAGGAGCGAAAGCAUG
rnacentral:rRNA from 1 species